AUGGCGACCGCUCUCCCAACCUCCGCUGCCGCCGCCACCGCCGCUGUUCGGAUCUUCCAACCGACCCGAUUCCGCCUCCCUGGAACCUCUCCCGUGCCUGCCCGCAAGCGUUCCGCUAGUCGCCGCCUCUCUGGCAUCACCUGCUCUCCCGGGAUUGCCAGCGUCGCCGGCGAAGCCACGUCCCCGGAGGACGCCGUCCGCAUCGUGGCCGUCGUCGGCGACGGAAGCAUCAGCCCGCUCAAGGAUACGCCCUGGGACGAGGUUAUGCGCCAUACGGCUGAUAGGUUGAAGUGGGUUGAUGAAGGAUUUGAAAUGCUUGUAUUCACUGACAAGUUGAUUGACCAUGAUGAUCUUAAGAAAGAGUUGUCUCGCUGUGAUAUGCUAGUCAAUGUUGCAAUAACUGGCCAGGAGUCUGUUCAGUGGCUUAUACAUAACAGUAAGAACAUUCCAAAUGUACUUUGUUUUCAGUCACCUCCGUCCUUAGUAAACAAGCUAGGAGGCACAUCUGUUCAAUACACUGGAGAGCAGGACUUCUUUGGCAAGCUAAUCAAUGUUGGAAAACCAAGUGGAACAGAGGAAUCAGCUGAAGUCCUCAAGACGAUAUCCAAUGCCUGGGAAAGGCACAACUCAGAUGACAUUAGGUUUUGCUUACUUGUUGUGGUUAAUGCAUACAUAAGACCGGUGGCUAUGCUGAAAAACCUUAGGGCAAAAGGUCUCUCUACCCUAGGCUGUAUGAUAACAAACUGUGGUCCUCAAAUACUGAAUUGUUUGUUUGAUCCUGACUGUAGGAAAGCCAUUCAGUGUCUGAAUUCUUGCUCUCCAACCGACCAGGUCUGCAACUAUCGCUGCAUUGCAUCGUACGAGAGUCCGCAUCUAGAGGCCUUUUCCCUCUGUGUUUUGCAAAAGCACAACUGCCUUGAGCUCAAUGCUGAGAUCCCUAGUAAGCCCUCUGUAACCCCACUAUCAAUGUUCAGAGAACAAAAGCUUAGCCAUGAAGUUGCAGAAGACCUGUUUGUCGGUUGGCUGGACGGCUUGGAGUGGAGCUGGAGAGUUGUAGCUGGACAGAAUCCAGCAUAUGACCAAUUCCCGUGCCAGUACCAAUUAUUCUACAGAGGGAAAGCUAAAGGUUCAUUUUGGUAUGAGCCAAUUUUUCAAGUCAGAACCCUGGAAGGGAAGCUGGUUUGGAGGCGUAGAAAGUACAGAGUGAGAAGAGCUAGCACCCCUGGUACAUUUUAUUUCAGUGUGCUGGAUAAUGGUGUGGUUUCGAAAGAGUUUUGGACAGUUGUUGAUGCUGCGGAUGAUUUCAGCUGGGGCCUGUUCCAUUACCAUGGAGCUGCUCAGGCUGCUGGACAAUCAUACACUGGAGCAGUGCUUGUUACCCCUGAUGGGUCUUAUCCUGGCGGGGACAACCCAAGAUUGGACUCUGCUUUGGAGAAAUGUGGUAUCAAGAAAUGGGAGCUGUAUAUGGUUGACAACUGCUCCUGCACGGGUGCGCCUUUGGGAACUCCCGUAGGUUCACGGCUGCAUUACCAGAUCGCUCCAGGAAAAGAAGCCGGUAUUAUGCAGAGAAUAUGA
rnacentral:rRNA from 1 species